ACAUAGGAUAACCUUUAGUGGAAAAAUCCUUAACUAUCAGACCACAGUGGCACAAUUGGUGGAACUCCUUGGAGAUGAGAAUGCUGCAUCUGAUUUACGAUGUUGGUUUGGAAAGCAAUAGCUAUCUUAAUAAUUAUUUCAUUUCUAAGCUUUACACCACCAGAAGACGGUACAUUCACGCACAAUAAGUUGUUGAUCUUAUCAAUGGGUACAACAACUAGCUCAAUUUAGAGAGCUUGAAAAGCAACCCAGACAGGUCACUAAGGAGAAGCAUGAGUCUGUGCGAGGCCAAGUAUUGAGAAGCCACAGGCAAAGAAGUGAGCAAAGGUCAGACUAAAAGCUGGCGAAAGAAGGAACUAUUACCACUAAAUCUGACAUCCAACACAUUGUCUUCACCUGGAGAUGAAUUCUGGUUGAGAAAGUCUGACGAAUCUAGCCAGUCUUCCCAAGAUGAUGCAGAGACUUCAUAGAUGAAGUAUUGGCUAAGACGAAGUUGUCAAAAGCUAUUAUCCAGGCGAUCCAACGUCCAUGAAUGGGGCUCAAAAACCCAAACCACCCAAUCCAAUGUUAUGAAUUUUCAUUCUACUUGAUUUUGCAUAUAAGAAUCACACUUGGUUGUAUUCCAUAACAGAUUUGUAAACUACGCAUUUACAAAAUGUAGUUAUCAGUUCUCAAAUAUUCCUUUUCUUCUGGUGACA